GACGAACGCUGGCGGCGUGCUUAACACAUGCAAGUGGAGCGACGAACCAGGGCUUGCCCUGGGGCAGAGCCGCGAACGGGUGAGUAACACGUGGGUAACGUGCCCCGAUGACUGGGACAACCCGGGGAAACCCGGGCUAAUACCGGAUAUGCCCCCUGACAUCUGUCAGGUGUGUAAAGGAAGCUUCGGCCUCCGCAUCGGGAUCGGCCCGCGGCGCAUUAGCUUGUUGGUGGGGUAAUGGCCUACCAAGGCAGCGAUGCGUAGCUGGUCUGAGAGGACGAUCAGCCACACUGGGACUGAGACACGGCCCAGACUCCUACGGGAGGCAGCAGUGGGGAAUCUUGCACAAUGCGCGAAAGCGUGAUGCAGCAACGCCGCGUGCGGGAAGACGGCCUUCGGGUUGUAAACCGCUUUCAGUUGGGACGAAGGUCGGCGCGUUAAUAGCGGGUCCGACUGAUGGUACCUUCACAAGAAGCCCCGGCUAACUACGUGC
rnacentral:rRNA from 1 species